GCUCUAGCUGAGAGAAGGAUGGCAGCUCUGAGAGCUAGCAUGGUCAGCGGCAGUCGUGGACCUGUGUCCGAACCACCGCUACCCAUGGCUUCCUGGAACAGUGCCCCACUUGCACUACAGCAGAGCACUGCAGAGAUUUUUGCAGCAAGUAGAGAUGGUCCCGUGAAACCUUGCUCAAGGACUCCUCAGUAGCCAGAGUGGAAUGCACAGCUGCUUGGCAGGACAAUCUCCAUGAGUCACUGCAUAAGGUGGAUGCUAUCCUUGAGGAAGUGCGAGACACCAUGCGGAAUUUGAAAGACGUGGUUGACGAGUCCCAUGUUGAAUUACCGAGGUCACAGGACACUUUCAAUGAUGCCUUUCAGAAUUUGCAGAAGUACCUAAAUAAAUGGGUACCACGCCUGAAAAGGAAAAGUUGGUCUGCUUAUCUUGCUUCUGCAGAGAAUUACAGCCAAGCCAGUUCCCCUUAACUCAGUGGGGUCACAGGAGGGCUGUAUGACUGCCAGCAGGAGCAGGAGGGCACCACUGCAUUUCAGGGUCAUGGUGGGGUGAAGGCAAAGAAGUACAAGUAACUAUAAUAGUGUGUUGCAAACAAUAAAAC